CGAGUCAGACGCAUUGUCCGGAAGAAAGGAAGUGACUUUCUGUUUAAUGACAGUGACGGGGAGAGCUUUAUCAAGAUUCCUUCAGCUAAUCUACAUCCGAACGGAUCAGUAGUACUUGGGAUUGCAUACAAAAGCCUUCACCAACUUUUUCCAGGCUACGUAACUGACCCAGGGGGAACCAACAAAAAAAGGAUCCUGGACAGCGUAAUUUUAUCCGCAGUAGUGGAUCCUCCGCUAGAAAAGUUACGAGAGAACGUCACCUUGGUUUUUAAAAACA